rnacentral:rRNA from 1 species
GAUGAACGCUGGCGGCGUGCCUAAUACAUGCAAGUCGAGCGAACAGACGAGGAGCUUGCUCCUCUGAUGUUAGCGGUGGACGGGUGAGUAACACGUGGAUAACCUACCUAUAAGACUGGGAUAACUUCGGGAAACCGGAGCUAAUACCGGAUAAUAUUUUGAACCGCAUGGUUCAAUAGUGAAAGACGGUUUUGCUGUCACUUAUAGAUGGAUCCGCGCCGCAUUAGCUAGUUGGUAAGGUAACGGCUUACCAAGGCUACGAUGCGUAGCCGACCUGAGAGGGUGAUCGGCCACACUGGAACUGAGACACGGUCCAGACUCCUACGGGAGGCAGCAGUAGGGAAUCUUCCGCAAUGGGCGAAAGCCUGACGGAGCAACGCCGCGUGAGUGAUGAAGGUCUUCGGAUCGUAAAACUCUGUUAUUAGGGAAGAACAAAUGUGUAAGUAACUAUGCACGUCUUGACGGUACCUAAUCAGAAAGCCACGGCUAACUACGUG